UACGUAGGUGGCAAGCGUUGUCCGGAUUUAUUGGGUUUAAAGGGUGCGUAGGCGGCUUUGUAAGUCAGUGGUGAAAUAUGGCAGCUCAACUGUCAAGGUGCCAUUGAUACUGCGGAGCUUGAGUACAGAUGAGGUAGGCGGAAUUGACGGUGUAGCGGUGAAAUGCUUAGAUAUCGUCAAGAACACCUAUAGCGAAGGCAGCUUACUAGGCUGUAACUGACGCUGAGGCACGAAAGCGUGGGGAGCGAACAGG
rnacentral:rRNA from 1 species